UACGUAGGGGGCAAGCGUUGUCCGGAAUUAUUGGGCGUAAAGAGCGCGUAGGCGGUCCGAUAAGUCGGCUGUGAAAGUCAGGGGCUCAACCCUUGAAAGCCGGCCGAUACUGUCGGACUAGAGUCCGGAAGAGGCAAGUGGAAUUCCCGGUGUAGCGGUGAAAUGCGCAGAUAUCGGGAGGAACACCAAUGGCGAAAGCAGCUCUCUGGGACGGUACUGACGCUGAGAGCGAAAGCGUGGGGAGCGAACGAGGA
rnacentral:rRNA from 1 species